AUUGAUGUACACAGGUUGUAGAUGGUAUGCUGUUUAUAGCAAGCAUCCAUUUUUCAUUUCUCCUGUCCGUUGGGAUCUAACGUAAAUCAAAACAACUCAAAUGUUUUUAAUUUUAAUGUGGGGUCAGCAGCUGCUCCCCAGAACUCCAGUUGCCACCAAAGUGUGAUUUUCUUGAGCCUAGUCAGACUGACAGUGGACCGAGAUCUGGUUACACAUCAAGAUACUUACCGUACAUAUGCCCAUUAGCGAGCAGAGCAACAAAGAAAUCUGUUUACUUAAACGCACACUUUUGCCCAAGUCCAGCAGUUACAGUGCUUAAGUAACUGCCCCUACAGCGCUAUGAAUCAUGAUAGUGGAGAAAUGUAAUCAAUUCCUGACAAGACCUUUUGAUGUGCGCCAUUGUCAUUUGACAUAACAAAUGACCUAUUUAAGGAGUGUGGGGCUAAACUCAGCUGCUUAAAGGAAAGGGAGUUUAAGCGAAUAUUUCCAACAGUUUACUUUAAAUGUUUAUCUUUGAACCAGUUCUUUAAAAAAAUGUAUAGUUAGACUCAGCUUACUUUUCAAAGGAAAAUAGAAGUAAAUUGGAAAAGCUCAUUUGAGCCCCAAAAGCUUCCUCUCUAAUGUAGUAUUCAUAAGACAAUUGCUUUAAACCCUGGCUGACCCGAGAGUUAUACUAGGAUUGCCUGAGUUUUAAUAAUUAGUCACCUCCAAGAAUUCUAACGUUUUCCGUUAUUCUAGGUUUAUGAUUUGAAAACCUAACUUUUGUAAGUCUAAAGGCACCAAAGUAACGUACGGUGUUUUACAUUUUUACUUAAAGCAUGUUUGGGUUAGCUACACAGGCAGACAAACAAUGUAAAUCAGAGAGACAAGGCCAGCCAUGGUCUGAUUUGAAGUCCGUGAUUCAAAAGUAUACACCAUUGGUCAAAAGUAUACACCAUUCAUAGCUUAGUCUCCCUAGCAUGUAUGUUUCUCCAAGUGCAGAAUUCUAACACACCACAGAACAAAUGCCAAGCUCUGAGUAGUAAUUUCAUCUGGAACUGCACUAGUCGUCUUUAAGUCAUGCAAAAUAAAGUAACUCCAUUUCAGUUGGUGAUCUAUCUCGCUCCUACCAUCAAAGCACCCUACUGAGGAGUCUGAGAUGGUACAAACUGAGAUGAUGAUAUGCACUGAGUCACCCCAAAGUCACAAUUCUCUUGCCCAGUCUAUAGAGAAAGCAUUACUAUUCAUCACUUAAGGCUGGGAUAUCUAUUAACAGUCCUGUUGUAAAUCAAGGUUAUUUAAAAGAUGGUGGAUGCUUCUUUACUUACCAUUAUGUGGAGUGUUAGGUUAGUGUACUCAUGGAUCAUGUAGAACAUUUGUUAGAGAGAGUGUUUGGACAGAAGCGAGUUCUCCACCUUGCACCAUUACUCUGAAAAUGUGCAUCUCUUCUUCAAUGCCGUCCCUCAGCUCUUUGUCCAUACUGCACUUGGGUUCCUGAUCCUGCUGUUUCUAGUGUCUAUGAAAACCAGCUUCUCUUUCUUUUAGAAUUCAACUGAUACGAGUGUGUUAUUUUAUUUGUGUAUGUAAAUGUUCAUGAAAUGACAAUGGAGAUUGGCAUGCAAAUUUCAUUUUUUUUAUUUUUUUAUUUUUUAAAAUAUAAUCAGAGCUCUUCAGUCACUUGUUUAGCUAUCUUUUCAACACCUAUUCGUGUGUCCAGCAUUUUUUCAAGACACCAACCUGUAUGUGGGUAGCUGUUUCCAACUCAUCAGACUCUUUAUCUGUAAUCUUUGCUCCAUGAUUUAGAAUUCAAAACUAGCAAAUCAUGAUUUAUUCUUUUUUUAUCCUCUUUCAGAAUAGCAUAUUUAUUUUCUCUUUUCUUCUUUUCUUUUAUUGGAUAUUUUAUUUAUUUACAUUUCAAAUGUUAUCCCCUUUUCCUGUUUCCCCUCCAGAAACCCCCUAUCCCAUUCCCCUCCCCCUGCUUCUAUGAAAAUGUUCCCACACCCACACACUCCUGCCUCUCUGCCCUGGAAUUCCCCUACACAGGGGCAUCGAGCCUUACAGGGCCAAGGUCCUUCCCUCCCGUUGAUGUCCAACAAGGCUAUUCUCUGCUACAUAUGCGGCUAUAGCUAUGGGUCCCUCCCUGUGUACUCUUUGGUUGAUGGUUUAGUUCCUGGGAGCUCUGUGGAGGUCUGUUUGGUUGAUAUUGUUGUUCUUCCUAUGGGAUUGCAAACCCCUUCAGCUCCUUCAGUCCUUUCUCUAACUAUUCCAUUGGGGACCCCGUGCUCAGUCCAAUCAACCACUCUCUUUUUCUUCUUCUGUUUCUUCAUUUUGGGGACAAGAUCAUCAUACCAGAUUUCCUGGACUGACUUGGAAAAUUCGAUCCUUUUACUUCAGGAAUAGCUGGGUCUCAUAGCUCUAUGCUCCUAGGCCCAGCUUCGAGCAUUCUUCUUAUAAGAAUAUUUUGACAAAUAAGUGCGCAUUCCUGUCAGGAAGAUUAUUUCUCCCACUCUUUGUAUUUUUUUUUUUUUUACUCCUCUGGAGUUCUUAUUGUAGGGUUUAGGGCUUAGGUGACAUUAUCCAACUGAUCAGGUCAGGUAGUAAUGAUGAAUUUGUAAAAAAAAAAAAAAAUAUAUGUAUGGAACAGAAAAUUAAUUUUAAAGAGGCCAUAAAUUUCAUAGAUAAAAGGGCUGAGUAUUUGGAAGAGUUAUAACCUCAAAACG
rnacentral:lncRNA from 1 species